UACGGAGGGUGCAAGCGUUAUCCGGAUUCACUGGGUUUAAAGGGUGCGCAGGCGGGUAAGUAAGUCCGUGGUGAAAUCUCUGAGCUUAACUCAGAAACUGCCGUGGAUACUAUUUGCCUUGAAUAUUGUGGAGGUGAGCGGAAUAUGUCAUGUAGCGGUGAAAUGCUUAGAUAUGACAUAGAACACCAAUUGCGAAGGCAGCUCACUACACAAUCAUUGACGCUGAGGCACGAAAGCGUGGGGAUCAAACAGG
rnacentral:rRNA from 1 species